UCCGGGCCGCCUUGGCCGCAGCACCCCUAAUCCAGGAAGAAGAGAGAGAUCUCUACCCUAUUAGAAGAAGAGAGUUUCUUUCUCUUCUUUCUGUCUCCUCUCUCUCUUCUCUCUCUUUUCCUCUUUCAUCUCUCUCCGUCUCUCUCUUUCUCUCCAGGGAUUUUAGUUCAAAGACCCGUCUUGUGGUGGAGGCCCUGAAUAAUAAAAACUAAGGAAGGUCGCGGAAGAAGAAGAUGCAACUCGAAAGAUAAUAAAAUACCUAAAUAACUUGGAUCCAAAUUUAAAUCUUAAAGUUUCAUAUAGAACCAAAUAUAGUUAAUCUAAAACCAAAU
rnacentral:lncRNA from 1 species